AGGAGAUCACCAAUUGUUAUUGGUCCAUCAAUUCUGUAUUAAUUGAUCAAUGCUGAGAAUUCUGAGGUGACCAUACCUAAGGCUUUUUCCCUUUCUGGCUCCCCCAUUUGGGUCUGAGUACCAACAGAGUUAGGGCACCUUGUGCCCUGUGCACAUAUAUUGUGUUGAGCAGAACCGGAGUUCCUGAUUUGUGCAACCAGCUUUUUAUCUGCUUUGCCAAACCAGGUCAGGCCAAACGAUGUUUGAAUGGCAACAGUUGCAUUUUAUUACGCUGAAGCAUCAAAUAUUUGGUAAAUGCUUAGUCGGUUGGCUUGUGGCAUUACCUGGACAGGUACUUUAAAAGAAGGCAGCAAACAGCCGAAAGUCCACUCGGUUCCAAGACCAUAUCACAGAGUACUUCAAUAGCAACUCCAGGACCAAAGAGGAUGAAGACCAUUGGUGUGAUAGUGAUGUUCGCCCUCCUGGGUGUCCUGUUGGCAAAUCACCCCAACCAGGUUAAUGGGGAGGAAG
ensembl:lncRNA